GGGCUGGUACGAAUACAAGGAAAAUGGGGCCCAGGAGAAAAAGCUCUUCUACAGUUCUUCAGGAAAACUGGGAAAAGUGUGAAACUCUAAUGUGUCCCUGGAUUUCUUCAACCAAGAGCUAAACUUAAAUUAUCUUACUGCUUCACUGGGUGUUCGGUUGAAAUGUUUUACCAGAUUUACUAGCUCCAUCUCCAGGCUUUUCAGUGCUUAACAGGUCUCUUGUUAAACUGUAAGUCUUGGCCCCUGUGCUGCUGAGUAUGAUGAUUUUCUUCUUACCUUCAUCUGUAAUAUCACUAGCAACGAAUAAAUAAGAUAAUAUUUUGCAGUGUU